rnacentral:rRNA from 1 species
GUGUCAGCAGCCGCGGUAAUACAGAGGGUGCUAGCGUUGUUCGGAAUUAUUGGGCGUAAAGCGCGUGUAGGCGGCCAUGCAAGUCGGGUGUGAAAGCCCUCAGCUUAACUGAGGAAGUGCGCCCGAAACUACUUGGCUUGAGUGCCGGAGAGGGUGGCGGAAUUCCCGGUGUAGAGGUGAAAUUCGUAGAUAUCGGGAGGAACACCAGUGGCGAAGGCGGCCACCUGGACGGCUACUGACGCUGAGACGCGAAAGCGUGGGGAGCAAACAGGAUUAGAUACCCUGGUAGUCCACGCUGUAAACGAUGAGCGCUAGGUGUUGCGGGUGUUGACCCCUGCAGUGCCGCAGCUAACGCAUUAAGCGCUCCGCCUGGGAAGUACGGCCGCAAGGCUAAA